AAUAAAAUGCUAAUAUAGGUUUAAAACCUACAUUAGCUAAAACGUUUGAUAGGCUUAAAACACUCUUAUAAACCUCUGAUAAAAAACGUUAUUCAUAAUCGUUUAUAAACCUUUGAUAACUAAAACAGAGUUUAAUAUUUUCUUUCCACAGACUAUACAAAAAGAAUGAACGAAAACAGCUUUUUUGGUGAUUUAACUUGAUGGACCAUGUAAAAUCAUAGACAAAUCGCAGAAAAAAAAAACAAAAAAUUGGCAGCUGUGACGUUUUACUUACUGACAUUGACAUUUGGCACGAAAAUUUAAUAAAGUUUUCGGUUUUUUCGAUCAACUCCCAAGUUUUAUCAAACUUUUAUAAAACUUGGGAUUGUAUGUUCUGGAUUCUGUACCUCUUACCCUGUACUCUGCAAUAAGCUCUUACGACGACCCGGCUAGUUACAUCGGAUACUAAUUAUGUCCAUGACGAAGGAGAACAGACCGCCUAAAAGGCAACGAUCAGAAAACUGGUUGGAGGAAGAUAAGUAUUUGCUGAAAGAGUUGGUGAAAGAAAGAGUAAAUGCAAUCGAAAAUAAAAAUACAGACACUAACACGAAUAAACGGAAGGUUGCGGCUUGGGCUGAUUUACAAACAACGUUUAAUUCAAUGUGCGCUGGUAUGAACCGCUCCAUUACCCAGUUAAAAUCGCAAUGGAGCCUCAUAAAAAUCAGUGCGAAGAAAGACAAGACCAUUGCUAGGCAGGCUCAAAUUAAAACUGGCGGUGGUCCACCAUUAUCAGUGCCUGACGAUAGGGCUGAUGAUAUAGCAUCUUGGUUGCCCAAUGAAUUUGUAGUCGAUGUUAACAGAUUUGACUCGGACUCAAAUAAAAGUGAAUUAAUUAACAUUCAAGAGGAGGAAUCAACUCAAAAUACGCAAGAUCAGGAAUUGAUAAAUAAUGAAGAAAUCCAAUAUGAAUUGGUGGUACUUGAUGAAGAAAUAGAAGAUACACAUGCUUGUACUACUAGAGGCAUAUUGGAAGAUAAAGAAAAUAAAAAAGUAGAGGCAAAAGAAAAUAAAGCAAAACCUAAUUUUAAAGCACCAGCAAUCAAAA